rnacentral:rRNA from 1 species
GCGUCUCGUCCUACCGCGGCUCGUCCGCGGAAGGUGAGGCGCACCAAGAGCGCACACGUUGGUACCCGAAAGAUGGUGAACUAUGCCUGGCCAGGACGAAGCCAGGGGAAACCCUGGUGGAGGUCCGUAGCGAUUCUGACGUGCAAAUCGAUCGUCAGAGCUGGGUAUAGGGGCGAAAGACUAAUCGAACCAUCUAGUAGCUGGUUCCCUCCGAAGUUUCCCUCAGGAUAGCUGGCGCUCAUUGAACCGAGUCCCAUCCGGUAAAGCGAAUGAUUAGAGGCUAUGGGGCCGAAACGGUCUCAACCUAUUCUCAAACUCUAAAUGGGUGGGAACUGCGGCUUGCUUAACGGUGAAGCCGUAGCUUCGGAUCGGAGUGCCCAGUGGGCCACUUUUGGUAAGCAGAACUGGCGCUGUGGGAUGAACCAAACGCCGGGUUAAGGCGCCCGAAUGAACGCUCAUGUGAAACCAUGAAAGGUGUUGGUUGCUUAAGACAGCAGGACGGUGGCCAUGGAAGUCGGA